GAUGAAGAACGUAGCGAAAUGCGAUACUUGGUGUGAAUUGCAGAAUCCCGCGAAUCAUCGAGUUUUUGAACGCAAGUUGCGCCCGAAGCCAUUCGGCCGAGGGCACGUCUGCCUGGGUGUCACGCAUCGUUGCCCCCCCAAACUCCGGUUCGGGCGGGGCGGAAGUUGGCCUCCCGUGCGUGCCUGCGCGCGCGGUUAGCCCAAAAGCGAGUCCUCGGCGAUGAGCGCCACGACAAUCGGUGGUUUUUUUCCCCUCGUUCCUCGUCAUGCGUGCCCCGUCGCCCGAACGCGCUCUUGCAACCCUUACGCGUCGCCUCGGUGGCGCUCCCAACGCGACCCCAGGUCAGGCGGGACUACCCGCUGAGUUUAAGCAUAUCAAUAAGCGGAGGA
rnacentral:misc_RNA from 1 species